rnacentral:rRNA from 1 species
UCAUUAAGUUGGGGACUCUAGCGAGACUGCCAGUGAUAAACUGGAGGAAGUGGGGGAUGACGUCAAAUCAUCAUGCCCCUUAUGACCUGGGCUACAAACGUGAUACAAUGGCUGGAACAAAGGGAUGCGAAGCAGUGAUGUGGAGCGAAACCCAUAAAAAACAGUCUCAGUUCGGAUUGAAGUCUGCAACUCGACUUCAUGAAGUCGGAAUCGCUAGUAAUCGCGGAUCAGCCAAGCCGCGGUGAAUACGUUCCCGGGCCUU